rnacentral:antisense_RNA from 1 species
GAAUACGCCCAGAAAUCAUUCGACUCCACGAUCGCCUGGUCACCGAAAUGGUCACCGUCGGCGAGCGUGUCGAGCGUGAUCUCGGCGCCGUACUCGUUGCUCCCGAUCUUCCUCGCCUUGCCGUGAGCGAUCAGGAACACGUGCUCUGCGGGUUGCCCCUUGGUGACGAUGAAAUCACCGGGCUUGUAUUCCUUCUGCUCGAACCGGCUGGCCAGUACGUUCAGCACCUCGUCGUCCGAGAAGCCGCGCAGCAGGGGCAGCUCGGACAGCUCCUGCGGCACGACCUGCACCUUCACGCCGAUGUUGCUGAAGCUCAGCCGCCCGUCGCCCACCGCAUAGCUCAUGCGGCGGUUGACGCGGAACGUGCCUGCCGUCACCUCGACCCAGGGGAGCAUCCGCAGCAACCACCGCGGCGUGAUCCCCAGCAUGUGCGGCUCCGACUUCGUCGUCGUCGCCAGUUGCCGAGCCGCGGCCGUGCUCAGGCUCGAAUGCAGCCU